AAAGUCGUAACAAGGUCUCCGUUGGUGAACCAGCGGAGGGAUCAUUACUGAGUUCUAAACUCCCAAACCCGUGUGAACUAUACCAUCGUUGCUUCGGCGGUCACGCCCCGGGCCGGCGCUACGGCGUGCCCCCGGAAUCAGGCGUCCGCCGGAGGACCCAAACUCUUGUUUUAAUCAGCGGCAUUCUGAGUGGAUUAUACAAAUAAAUCAAAACUUUCAACAACGGAUCUCUUGGUUCUG
rnacentral:misc_RNA from 1 species